UACGUAGGGCGCAAGCGUUGUCCGGAAUUAUUGGGCGUAAAGAGCUCGUAGGCGGCCAGUUGCGUCUGCUGUGAAAUCCCGGGGCUCAACCCCGGGCGUGCAGUGGAUACGGGCUGGCUAGAGGCAGGCAGGGGAGAACGGAAUUCCCGGUGUAGCGGUGAAAUGCGCAGAUAUCAGGAGGAACACCAAUGGCGAAGGCAGAUCUCUGGGCCGUAACUGACGCUGAGGAGCGAAAGCAUGGGGAGCGAACAGG
rnacentral:rRNA from 1 species